rnacentral:rRNA from 1 species
CCUACGGGAGGCAGCAGUGGGGAAUUUUGGACAAUGGGGGCAACCCUGAUCCAGCCAUGCCGCGUGAGUGAAGAAGGCCUUCGGGUUGUAAAGCUCUUUCGGCCGGAACGAAAUCGCGCACGUGAAUAAUGUGCGUGGAUGACGGUACCGGAGUAAGAAGCACCGGCUAACUACGUGCCAGCAGCCGCGGUAAUACGUAGGGUGCGAGCGUUAAUCGGAAUUACUGGGCGUAAAGCGUGCGCAGGCGGUUCGCUAAGUCAGACGUGAAAGCCCCGGGCUUAACCUGGGAACGGCGUUUGAAACUGGCGGGCUCGAGUACGGCAGAGGGGGGUGGAAUUCCACGUGUAGCAGUGAAAUGCGUAGAUAUGUGGAGGAACACCGGAUGGCGAAGGCAGCCCCCUGGGCCGAUACUGACGCUCAUGCACGAAAGCGUGGGGAGCAAACAGGAUUAGAUACCCUGGUAGUCCACGCCCUAAACUAUGUCAACUAGUUGUCGGGGAAGCAAUUCCUGGUAACGCAGCUAACGCGUGAAGUUGACCGCCUGGGGAGUACGUCGCGAGAGUAACGUAACGAAGAAGUUAGAGNGUUGAGAGNGCCGACGGACGACGACGAGGGAGGAGG